CGCACGUUGGUCGUUUUCGUAGUCGUUGUCGUCGUCGUUGAAAAAGCAACGACUUGAUGGAAAUUUUGUGCGUAUCGCGCUGCUAUAUAAACGAAAUAUAAUUUAAUUCUAAAUAGUGCACAAGAAACAUCACAAUCUGUCGAUCCUUUUGCAAAAAAGUGCUCAAAAAUCGAAACACUCGAAGUGUCCGAAAAACGCCUUUGAAAACCCGCAUUGAAACCAUUUUGUAUGUGACAAGAAAAAAAAUGCGCUGCUGCUGCUGGAAACAAAAAAUGCGCUCGCCAUUUUGACUCGAGCGACAACCAAAUUUUCACUUGCUGAUAUCAAAAUAAUCGCUCUGAAGUGUGCCACGGUGAAGGCAAUUACGCCCAAAUAUUAGAACAUCUGUGAAGUGUUGUGCAAAGAAUAUUUAAUACACGUGUUACAAUUGUGCACCUAAAAAAUACGGAUUUCAUCGCUGGCCGCGCCACACAAACACACAUUCACUUGCAUACACUCAGGCUCUCACAUACACGUUGCGGCUACUUGCUUCUGUUCUGCUUGUAUUGAUAUCUUUUGGCGGCGUGUUGGUGAACGGUCGCCCUGAAGAAGUGCAAGUACGAGAUAGUCGUUGCCGCAGGUAAUCAGCGACAGCAUUUCAGCAGUUAAGGGUGCUGGGCACCAAACAGCAGGAAUACCGACGUCACUACACCUGUCUCUACCUACACCUGAAAAUGGCGCAUUCCUCGGCUGCAAAUCAAACGAGUGGCGCGGUGAAGACGGAUGAAGUCAACUAUUUCUUUCAGGAUGAGCACGGUAUUCACAUUACAGGACAAAUUGCCAAAAUGUUGAAGCCAGUGCAAGUGAAGCAAACGCACUCCAUGGACAAUUCAAAGUCGAUUUUGGUCUUUCCUAGCAGCUCGUCACGCAACGGAGGCAGUGGCGGCAUCGGCAAUGUGGGGCGAGUGGGCGCCUUAAGUCAAAUGAGCACAACGAAUCAGGGACAAUUCAUUCGUCUUCAAGAUAGUUGUAUUACUAUUCCAAAAACCGAAAAUACUUCAUAUACACCUGUGUCAGCGCAAAAAGGCAGCGGUGUGGGAGGCAGCAUUCACGAAGUGAUAAAGAACGAGCGAUAUGUCAAAUAUACGCCAAAUAACGCCAUGAAAUUGAAAUCGAAAUUGCACGCCAUACAGAGCAGUUCAAUGCACACAAUGCCCGCCUCCUCAUCGUCAGUGCAAAGGAAACGAAAGCCUGACAAGGCUGGCAAGGGACUGCGUCACUUCUCGAUGAAGGUGUGCGAGAAGGUGCAGGAAAAGGGCAAGACCACAUACAAUGAGGUGGCUGACGACUUGGUUAAUGAAGAAAUGAAGAACAAUUCAUAUGAUAAUAACUGUGAUCAAAAGAAUAUCCGGCGUCGUGUCUACGAUGCGCUUAACGUACUGAUGGCAAUCAAUGUUAUAUCUAAGGAUAAAAAGGAGAUACGUUGGAUUGGGUUGCCCGCCAACUCGGCUGAGCAAUUUCUGGCCUUAGAGGAACAGAACAAUUUGUGCCGUGAACGAAUAAAGCAAAAAAAUGAAACGUUGCGUGAAUUAAUCAUGCAGCACGUGGCAUUCAAGGGUCUUGUCGAGCGCAACAAACGGGCAGAAAGCCAGGGCAUGGUGCCAUCGCCAAACUCAUCCAUUCAGCUGCCGUUCAUCAUUGUGAAUACGCACAAAUCGACAAAGAUAAAUUGCAGUGUAACCAACGACAAAUCCGAAUACAUAUUUAAGUUCGACAACACAUUCGAAAUGCACGAUGACAUCGAGGUGUUGAAACGCAUGGGCCUCCUAGUGGGUUUGGAUAAAGGUGAUUGCACGGGGGAGAAUAUAGAACGUGUUAAGGGUUGGGUCCCACCAAAUCUAUCCAAAUAUGUGGAAGCUUAUGGCACUGGUAAAAUGGGGGAUCCGAUGUACGAUUCGGAUGACGAGUUCAAUUCGUACCUCGAAAUACCCAAUGAGUCUCAAAGCUUUGCACAGCAUACCACCGAUGUCGAGUACAAGUUGGAGCUAGACGAUGAUGAGCAAGAGGAUGACAUCGAUUGAGCUGACGAUGACGCGGACGUGUCCUGGGCGAUGGGUUCCACUGCGGAUGCUGGCGAUGUUAGCAGCGGCUAUGCAGAGGAUACAUUUAGUUUUACGUUUAUUAACGCUUUGUUGGGAUUGCCACGCCCGUUCGAUUAGGCUGCCCAUUUCUCACAUUUGUCUUUCUUUACAUAUACAGAAGCAUUAAACAGCUUUGAUUUCGUUUAUUUCUCAAUGAGACUUGAUUAAACUAUAAAUAAGUUAAAAAGAAAGAAACAUUUAAUAAUUAUAAAUAUUACUUGGCGUUCAGUUUGUAUUUGUAUUUUUGAAGUUUAUUUUUAAGCGCAAAACUUUUAAAUUAAUGUUCUUAAGCAAAAACACAAAAACAAAAAAAAUGUAUUUUAGUGAAAAUAUACAAAAAAAAUUGCAGUCUUCUUUUAGUUGUUAAAUAAUUGCUGCUUAAAGAAAUUGUUAAGCAGCAAGCGAAAAGGGUUUUUAAAAGUUCAUCUUCAAUUGUUGUAGAGCAACUUUUAAAACUAUUGUACACCAAAACUUGAAAUGACAGCAAUUAAAUAUAAUGAAAAUAUUUUUAGAGCUACAAAUUGCAGUGCAAACUGUAGACAAAAGCAUAUGAAAUAUGUUUAUUUGCCUCACAUUAACAUUUUAAGACAGCUGUUACAUAUUUUCUAAAUUUCUCAAGAACCGUUCAGCUAAAAAUAAAAUACAAAUAUGUUUAUAAAUACAAACAUAUGCAUAUAUAUAUAUAUAUAUAUAUAUAUAAAGCUAUAUAAUACAUAUACAUUAAAAGCAAAUGCAAAUAAUCAAUCUACCUAAUUAGUUAUAACAACUAUUAAUGCAUCGAUAUAAAUUUCUAGAAUUUAUAUUUAACUUCAAAUGAAUACAAAUGCAUACAAAUUAGUAGAAAGUGAAAUAUGUAUAUUUAAGAGUCGAGCCGUAGUUGUGUAAUAAAUUUAUAAUAUUUCAUUUUGAAAAUGAGAAAUCGACAAAGAGCAAAUACAAAAUGCAUAAACAAAAAAAAAAAUAAGAAAAAAAGCAAACAUAGGUAAUAAACUCAAUACAUAUUGUAAUAUAUGAUUAAAAACAAAACUUUUUAUCCACUUUGAGAGGGAAUUGAGUUCCAGGUGAAUUAUAUUAUAACCAGGUUUUUUAAGAUAUUAAUUAUUUAUGUAUUUAUUCUUUCGUUAUUUCUUAGGUUUAUAUAUAUUGUGUUUAAAAAAUACCACUGUUUAAGGAUCUGUGUAGAGAAAUGCUGUUCAAUAACUGGGUAAUGAAGAGCAGGAAUUUUGAUAUAAAUAACCCGACAAAAUAACAGCUCGAAGGUGACCUCAUUAUUGUUCAGAUGGAAUCUAGAACACAAAUUUAAUUGGCUUAAAGCUAAGUGUUGAAGGCUUUUACUCUUUUCAAGCAAAUCCUUGAUCGAACGCUGUCCCUGUCGUGGAUGGUGGACCAAGCGGUUGCUGCUGCUGAGCAGCUAAAUUAAAUUCGUAGUUCAUUUGUUGAUCAAUGGGCAGGGUGGGGAAUGCAUUUGCAGACAGAUUCAUCAGCUCGGGCUGCGGUUGCAGUGGCUUAACUGGUUCCUGUCGCUCUUGGCGCAUUUGCUGCGGUGAUUUCACAUAAUUGAUUGGUAUUAAGCCCGAGCUCUGGCCAUUUGUUGAAGCCAGGGCCCAGCCAGAAUUCAACAGUUGGAGGGUCUGUUGAAUCUCACGGGGAGCCACCUGGACGGACUGACCGGCACGCAAUGUCAAUUCGCUUUCGUUGCGCGCCUGAAAAUCAUACACGGCCUGCGUCUGUAUCGGGGCUGUCCACUUGGAGGGAUUGCGGGCUGUUUGGAUUGCAGAAUAAAAAUUACGGGUGAUAUUAAUAACAACUCGAAUUCGCGUGCUUAUCAAAGCCAUUGCCCAGCUUUAUCUGGAUGAGCUGGUUCAGAGCAAAGUGCUGAGAUUAGAUAAACGGAGUGUGCAAUGUCCAUACCUUCCUCUUGCGCCGUAUUCGUCACAGUGCCCAGCAACUUCAUGAUCAGAUAUGGUGCGGUAAAGAUGAAACUAAUGAAAGCCAACACUGGCCACGGGGACGUGCCCUUUCGGGGUAUAUUUGGCGCACUGCCAUUCUGUACAUUAUUAUCAUUGAGCGCUUCGGCGAAAGCUUUUUUAAAAGCUGUCGACGAAGGAUCCAAAUUCGAAAGGCGUAGCCAAAACAGUAUUCUAAAUGUCAAAAUAUAUCAUUAAUUUUAAUCUAUCAGGCGAACUGCAAUACACUUACUUUCUGUAAAUCCAUUUUAGACCGCGGAAGAUAGCAAACGAUGUCCAGAACUGGGCAAAAACACUGCGCAGGCGUCCAAAAUUUGCAGCCACGCCAAGAAUGGCACGAAACGAGCUUGUCAACGCAAAGAACGUAGAGUCCAACAUGGAAGCAAUGUUCCCAAUAGCCGAUACCAGUGAUUCGAUGCUUUGGAAUGCGGGACGUGAGCUUGCCUCGGCCAUUUGUAUAAAACGCUGCUCAGGAUCGUUGGCAUUCAUGCCACCAAAUCUGUUGUACGCCCCAUAGCCGCCACCAUAGUUACCCAUGCCACCCAUACCGAAACCACCGUAGCCGAAUCCGCCAGCAUUAUAGCCUCCUGUAUUGUAACCGCCUAAGCCGAGUCCAUAGCCCCCAACGUUGCCGUAGCCUCCUCCGUAACCAUAUGAGCUCUGCUGCAAGGGAGACUGUGGAAUGGGUGGUGGGGCUGCAAGUGACCUCACGUUGCCGUAUGGGGUGGCCAGCAUAGGCGACUCGUUUAUAACUGCGCUUCGCAGAUUGUUGUUGUCGCCCAUUUUGCUGUAGACUGAUUAACUAUUAUUUCAUGAACUUUGGUCCGAAGUAUGAACAUUGAUUAUCCACUUACCUGUGUCCCAUAAAAUUAGAUGAAAUUAUAUUAUUUUUUUGCGCACGAUACCUAUGUAAUCUACUAUUAUUUAAAAUAAAGUAAUGUUAUUAUCAA